rnacentral:rRNA from 1 species
GACGAACGCUGGCGGCGUGCCUAACACAUGCAAGUCGAGCGAAUGAAAUUCCUUCGGGAAUGGAUUUAGCGGCGGACGGGUGAGUAACACGUGGGCAACCUGCCUCAUAGAGGGGAAUAACCUUCCGAAAGGGAGAUUAAUACCGCAUAAGAUUGUAGUACCGCAUGGUACAGCAAUUAAAGGAGCAAUCCGCUAUGAGAUGGGCCCGCGGCGCAUUAGCUAGUUGGUGAGGUAACGGCUCACCAAGGCGACGAUGCGUAGCCGACCUGAGAGGGUGAGCGGCCACAUUUGGACUGGGGAACGGCCCAGACUCCUCAGGGGGGGAGGAGUGGGGAAUAUUGGAAAAUGGGGGAAACCCUGAUGCAGCAACGCCGCGUGAGUGAUGGCGGCCUUCGGGUUGGAAAGCCCUGUCUUCAGGGACGAUAAUGACGGUACCUGAGGAGGAAGCCACGGCUAACUACGUGCCAGCCGCCGCCGUAACAC